rnacentral:rRNA from 1 species
UAUGGCGACCGGCGCACGGGUGAGUAACACGUAUCCAACCUGCCGAUGACUCGGGGAUAGCCUUUCGAAAGAAAGAUUAAUACCCGAUGGCAUAGUUCUUCCGCAUGGUAGAACUAUUAAAGAAUUUCGGUCAUCGAUGGGGAUGCGUUCCAUUAGGUUGUUGGCGGGGUAACGGCCCACCAAGCCUUCGACGGAUAGGGGUUCUGAGAGGAAGGUCCCCCACAUUGGAACUGAGACACGGUCCAA